GAGUAGCCUGCGUCCGAUUAGCUAGUUGGUGGGGUAAAGGCCUACCAAGGCGACGAUCGGUAGCUGGUCUGAGAGGACGACCAGCCACACUGGGACUGAGACACGACCCAGACUCCUACGGGAGGCAGCAGUGGGGAAUAUUGGACAAUGGGCGCAAGCCUGAUCCAGCAAUGCCGCGUGUGUGAAGAAGGUCUUCGGAUCGUAAAGCACUUUCGACGGGGACGAUGAUGACGGUACCCGUAGAAGAAGCCCCGGCUAACUUCGUGCCAGCAGCCGCGGUAAUACGAAGGGGGCUAGCGUUACUCGGAAUUACUGGGCGUAAAGGGCGCGUAGGCGGCGCUCCAAGUUAGGCGUGAAAGUCCUGGGCUCAACCUGGGAACUGCGCUUGAUACUGGAGUGCUUGAGGAUGGAAGAGGGUCGUGGAAUUCCCAGUGUAGAGGUGAAAUUCGUAGAUAUUGGGAAGAGCACCGGUGGCGAAGGCGGCGACCUGGUCCAUUACUGACGCUGAGGCGCGACAGCGUGGGGAGCAAACAGGAUUAGAUACCCUGGUAGUCCACGC
rnacentral:rRNA from 1 species